rnacentral:rRNA from 1 species
UACAGAGGUCCCAAGCGUUGUUCGGAUUCACUGGGCGUAAAGGGUGCGUAGGUGGUUGUGCAAGUCUGAUGUGAAAUCUCCGGGCUCAACCCGGAAAUGGCAUUGGAAACUGCAUGGCUAGAGGGUUGGAGGGGGGACUGGAAUACUUGGUGUAGCAGCGAAAUGCGUAGAUAUCAAGUGGAACACCAGUGGCGAAGGCGAGUCCCUGGACAACACCUGACACUGAGGCACGAAAGCUAGGGGAGCAAACAGG